rnacentral:lncRNA from 1 species
UGACUUCUGGCCCCUCCUCUUUCUACUUCUCCAUGGGGCUGCUCUGGCAGCCAGCCCUGCACACUUCGCUCUUUGCUGGUAGAAGGUUCACAUCGCAUCUGGUCCUAAGCUCCACAGUUGAGUUGUCCCAUAAGUAGCCAGCACAAGGCAGACUUUGGAGGCCUGUCCCCCAUCAUUGUGCGACCCCAGAUACAACACAAGAAAGAAGUGUCAAGUGGGAGGAAUAAUUGACGCAACACCGGGCUAGCCCUAAACAAGACAUUUAUACCAGUGCCUCCAAGGCUCAAGGAGCAUUGAAGAAGAGUAAGCAGAAAGAAUGCAGG